AAAGAUUAAGCCAUGCAUAUGUAAGUCCAACCAAUUUAUCGGUUAGACUGUGAACGGCUCAUUACAACGGUCAAAAUCGGCACGAAGUAGUCUCCCCGGAUACUUCUAGUAAUUCUGGAGCUAAUACGGCGCACUUCGGYGUCAUACAUCAGACGACACCAACCGCCUCGGCGUUGAGUGAUGAUUCUGAAUGUCUUGCAGUCCGCGCUUGCGCAAGCCGGCGGCGGUUCGUGCGAUUGACUGUCCUAUCAACUUUUGAUGGUAGUUCAGUUGACUACCAUGGUUGUAACGGGUAACGGAGAAUCAGGGUUUGACUCCGGAGAGGAUGCCUGAGACACGGCAACCACAUCUAAGGAAGGCAGCAGGCGCGCAAAUUACCCACUCUCAGUGCGAGGAGGUAGUAACAACGAAUAACGAGACUGUUCCCUCUGGGAACAGUCAUCGAAAUGGGUCUAACACAAACCCUUGAACGAGGAUCAAUGAGAGGGCAAGUCUGGUGCCAGCAGCCGCGGUAAUUCCAGCUCUCAAAGUGUAUGUCACUAUUGCUGCGGUUAAAAAGCUCGUAGUUGGAUCUGAACCCACGUUCCGGGUGCGCCUUCGGGUGUCACUCGGUUCGAGGUUAAUUCGUCGACUUUGUCGGCGAGAGUUACUCUGAAGAAAUCAGAGUGCUCAAAACAAGCGUCUCGCUUGAAUGUUUUUGCAUGGAAUAAUGGAAAAGGGCUUCGGUUCCUUACUGUUGGUUUCGGAAUUGGAUCAAUGAUUGAGAGAGUCAAACGGGGGCAUACGUACCGCUACGCGAGAGGUGAAAUUCAUGGACCGUAGCGUGACGAUCKAAAGCGAAAGCAUUUGCCAAGAAUGUCUUCAUUAAUCAAGAACGAAAGUCAGAGGUUCGAAGGCGAUUWGAUWCCGCCGUAGUUCUGACCGUAAACGAUWCCAUCUAGSGAUCCGGCKGCGGUWMUAACCGCCUCGCCGGGGAGCUUCCCGGAAACGAAAGCCUUCCGGUUCCGGGGGUAGUAUGGUUGCAAAGCUGAAACUUAAAGGAAUUGACGGAAUCGCACCACCAGGAGUGGAGCCUGCGGCUUAUUUUGACUCAACACGGGAAAACUCACCCGGCCCGGACACUGUAAGGAUUGACAGACUGAGAGCUCUUUCUUGAUUCGGUGGUUGGUGGUGCAUGGCCGUUCUUAGUUGGUGGAGCGAUUUGUCUGGUUUAUUCCGAUAACGAGCGAGACGCAAMCCUACUUAGUACACCGUGAAUAGCUGGGUUCACAGGUGUUCUUAGAGGGAUUGGUGGUAUAGAGCCGCAAGAGAGUGCGCAAUAACAGGUCUGUGAUGCCCUUAGAUGUCCGGGGCUGCACGCGUGCUACACUGGAGACUUCAACUGGUUCCAUGGCCGAAGGGUCACUGGUAAACCGGUGAAAAGUCUCCGUGAUCGGGACAGGGAAUUGCAACUAUUUCCCUUGAACGAGGAAUUCCUAGUAAGUGUGAGUCAUCAUCUCGCUCUUAAUACGUCCCUGCGAUUUGUACACACCGCCCGUCGCUACCCGGGACUGAACCGUUUCGAGAAAUCCAGGGAAUCGCUCCUGGGGYCCGCCCCAGGAGWGGUGAACUGGCCUGAUCGCGACGGUUUGAACCGGGUAAAAGUCG
rnacentral:rRNA from 1 species